CCCGCACAAGCGGUGGAGUAUGUGGUUAAUUCGAUGCAACGCGAAGAACCUUACCUGGUCUUGACAUCCCGGAGACCCUUAGGAAACUAGGGGGUGCUUCCAUCUGGAAGAAUCUGGAGACAGGUGCUGCAUGGCUGUCGUCAGCUCGUGUCGUGAGAUGUUGGGUUAAGUCCCGCAACGAGCGCAACCCUUGCCUUUAGUUGCCAGCAGUUCGGCUGGGCACUCUAAAGGGACUGCCGGUGUUAAACCGGAGGAAGGUGGGGAUGACGUCAAGUCCUCAUGGCCUUUAUGACCAGGGCUACACACGUACUACAAUGGCCGAUACAAAGGGCAGCGACACUGCGAGGUGAAGCCAAUCCCGUAAAAUCGGUCUCAGUCCGGAUUGGAGUCUGCAACUCGACUCCAUGAAGUUGGAAUCGCUAGUAAUCGUGAAUCAGAAUGUCACGGUGAAUACGUUCCCGGGCCUU
rnacentral:rRNA from 1 species